AAUCGGCUCGGCUUUUUUCCAUUGUACUGCCAAAAUUCACCGAUUUUGAGCACCAAAGGGAGCUUUUCAGAGGGAAUACAGAGGACUUAGGUGUGUCUGCAGGGAGGACUUGUCCAGCUGCUUUGCUGAUUCCUACACAAAAGCCCAGCUCCCAUGGCAGAGGUGAGUAGUGUGUCCCUGAUGACCCCACAGGCUGAGCCCUGCUUUUGUAGGAUCCAUUCCUGGGAAAUGGAACUCUGUUGCUCGAAGGUCCUCUGAGGGGAAAGAACAAAGCUACAGGACACCAGAAAACCCAUGAGCCAUCCAAAAACAUGAGGCAAAUGCUGAAAGAAUUGCUGCAGGGAGGAGGACAAGAGAUGGACAUAGUGCUUCAGCGGAAGGUGGCAUUUCCUGAAGGAAGCACUCCAUCUUCGGUGCGAGCCCCUGCUGCAGGAAGGAAGGCAAAGCCAGACACGGGCACAGGUA